rnacentral:rRNA from 1 species
GUAGGUGGCAAGCGUUGUCCGGAAUUAUUGGGCGUAAAGCGCGCGCAGGCGGUUCUUUAAGUCUGAUGUGAAAGCCCACGGCUCAACCGUGGAGGGUCAUUGGAAACUGGGGGACUUGAGUACAGAAGAGGAAAGCGGAAUUCCAAGUGUAGCGGUGAAAUGCGUAGAGAUUUGGAGGAACACCAGUGGCGAAGGCGGCUUUCUGGUCUGUAACUGACGCUGAGGCGCGAAAGCGUGGGGAGCAAACAGGAUUAGAUACCCUGGUAGUCCACGCCGUAAACGAUGAGUGCUAAGUGUUAGGGGGUUUCCCGCCCCCCUUAGUGCUGCAGCUAACGCAUUAAGCACUCCGCCUGGGGAGUACGGCCGCAAGGCUG